rnacentral:rRNA from 1 species
CCCUUAGACGUUCUGGGCCGCACGCGCGCUACACUGACCAGUGCAACAAGCAUCCGUCCUUGGCCGACAGGCUCGGGCAAUCUUUGAACGCUGGUCGUGAUGGGGAUAGACUUUUGCAAUUUUUGGUCUUCAACGAGGAAUUCCUAGUAAACGCAAGUCAUCGACUUGCAUUGAUUACGUCCCUGCCCUUUGUACACACCGCCCGUCGCACCUACCGAUUGAAUGGUCCGGUGAAGCCUCCGGAUUGGCGCGCACCUCGGUGCCGCCGAGAAGUUGGCUAAACCUUACCAUUUAGAGGAAGGUGAAGUCGUAACA